AUGGCAGGACAAGUUGGGUCUGCAGUGGUUAGCGAGAUCACGAGCAGGGCCGUUUCCAAGGUAACGGGAAUGGUCAACAAGCAGUCGGCUGUCGAUGAGCAGCUGCGCAAGCUGGAGAUGAUGUGCAUAAAGAUCGACAGCAUGGUUGAGGCAUCUGAGAGGCAUAGUAUCACUGGUAACUAUCUGCUCAAGUGGCAGGAGAAGCUAAGGGACGCUGGCACAUUGGGUGACGAGGUAAUUUUUGACUUCCGAUGGAGAGCCUUGAACAAAGCCAGCAAGAGCAUCAACUAUAAGAUAGACACACUCAGUGCUCUGGCUUACACAAAGAUUGUUGUGUCAAGUAUUGUAGAUUACUUCCACAAUGCUGCCAAGACGCUACUCUCAAGCAAUGAUGAUGUGCAGAAGUUGAACAGUACAGUGGAGAUGUUGGAGAAACUAUUGGCAGAUAUUGGUCAAGCUCUAGCAGGACAAGUUGGCUCUGUAGUGAUCAACGAGAUCACAAGCAGGGCCAUCUCCAAGGUAAUUGGAAUGAUCAACAAGCAGACGGCUAUCGAUGACAAGCUGCGCAAGCUGGACAUGCUGUGCAUAAAGAUCAAUAGCACAGUUGAAGCAUCUAAGAAGCACGAAAUCACCGGGACCUAUCUACUCAAGUGGCAGGAGAAGCUGAAGGAAGCUGGCAUAGAGGGUGAUGAGGUACUUUUCGACUUCCGAUGGCGAGCCUUGACCGAAGCCAGCAAGUGCAUCAACCAUAAUAUAGGUACACUCGGUCCUCUAGCUUACACAAAGAUUGUUGUGUCAAGUAUUAUAAAGUACUUCCACAGUGCUGCCAAGAUGCUGCUGUCAACCAACAAGGAUGUGCAGAAAUUAAACAGCACAGUGGAAUUGUUGGAGAAGCUAUCGGCAGAUAAUGAGGCGUUCUUAGGAUUGGUUGACCUUCAGGUUUUGACAGUAGAGAAGCAUGCUCCUGCAAAAAGGAAGAAACUGGAGAUGUUGGAGAAGCCAUCGGCAGAUAAUCAGGUGUUCUUGAGAUCGGUUGAGCUUGCAAAAGAGAAGAAACCAGAGAUGUUGGAGAAGCUAUCGGCAGAUAAUCAGUUCACGAGAUCCAUUAAGCUUGAGGUUCUGAAUGGGGAGAAGAAUGCUCCCGCAUCACAAAAGGAAGCACAUCAACAUUCGAGCAGGAAGAGAACACAUGACUGUAUACUUGACUCCAUGAAGGUUAUAGUGAGCGUAAAAGGGCAGCGCCUUACAGGUCCUUAUAAAGGUGAUACAACCUAUGAGCACAAGUUAGCAUUCUUGUUGCUAGGACUUUCUCUCCUUUCCUCCAUUUUCGUGGCCAUGGCAGAACAGACAGUUUACUCUAUGGCCUCUGCUGUAACCGGGGAGCUCACCAACAGAGUGUUCUCGGGGUUGAUACAGAUGUUCGGUAAGGAGGCAGCUGCCGGCAAGAAGCUGCAGCGACUGGAGAUGCUGCUAAUCAAGAUCCACAGUGCAAUUGAGGCAUCCGAGAAACGCACCAUCGAGAAUUUGUGGCUCCUUCAAUGGCGUGACAAGCUAAAGGAAGCCACCUCACAAGGCGAUGAAGUCCUUGCCAGCUUCACACGGAAGGCAGAAGACGCUGAAGCCACAAGGAGCGUUGACAUCAACCAGCAUCAAGGCCCAUCCUCUUCUUCUGGUGCUGCUUCUACUAGAACUACAGGUGCUCUGUCUUUCAAAGGCAAAUCUAUGUCGAGCAUGGCGGGGGGCAUCCGCAACACAGCCCAGAUGUUGUUCUCGAGUGACGAGGACAUGGAAAAGCUGAACAGCACACUGGACAGGUUAGAGCAGCACUCAGUAGACAUCGGAGAGUUCAUAAGAUUGCUUCGGCUAGAGAACUGGGCAAAGGUAGAUCUAACACCUACCGAGAGUAUGGAGGCGCCAAUUACGGAGCAUGGACAAAGGAAAAAGAUGAGGAUCACAGGAGAGUCAGGGUCUACAUUAUUUGGCCUCAAAUUAGAUAAGGAGCAAGACAGAGAAAUUUCAGCUCCGUGUGUGGUGGAGGCAGUAGUGAACAAAUUGAAGCAUCUUUCGAUCAAUGAAACAGUACAUAUCCAGAAGGAACAGCACGGAAUGCUCCUGGACAGGCUUGAGAAAGCGUUCGUCGAUAUCUGCAAGACUGUUGAGUUGGCAGAUAGGCGCGACUUUCGGGAUAUGGAGUGGCUCACAUACUGGGCUGACAUCCUCAGGGAGGCAAAGAUAAAAGGUUGUGUCGUUCUUGGCGCCAUUGGCACUAGCAAAACACUGAGCGCCAAAGACAACGAGUCAAUGGUGGAUUGUGAUCGAGAGAAAGAUGAAUUCAGCAGUUUCGUGCAUAGCAUGGAGGGCUUAGCUACGGACGUGGAAUGCUUCAGAAAACUGGUAUACAUGUGUUCAUGA
rnacentral:rRNA from 1 species